rnacentral:rRNA from 1 species
GCGACCACCGAGAUCUACACUCUUUCCCUACACGACGCUCUUCCGAUCUGUGCCGAGUUAACACAAUAAGUAUCCCACCUGGGGAGUACGUCCGCAAGGAUGAAACUCAAAGGAAUUGGCGGGGGAGCACCACAAGGGGUGAAGCCUGCGGUUCAAUUGGAGUCAACACCAGAAAUCUUACUCGGAGAGACAGCAGAAUGAAGGCCAAGCUGGAGACUUUACCAGACAAGCUGAGAGGUGGUGCAUGGCCGUCGCCAGCUCGUGCCGUGAGAUGUCCUGUUAAGUCAGGUAACGAGCGAGACCCUUGCCUCUAGUUGCCACCAUUACUCUCAGGAGUAGUGGGGCGAAUUAGCGGGACCGCCGCAGUUAAUGCGGAGGAAGGAAGGGGCCACGGCAGGUCAGUAUGCCCCGAAACUCUGGGGCCACACGCGGGCUGCAAUGGUAGUGACAAUGGGUUCCGAACCCGAAAGGGAGAGGUAAUCCUCAAACGCUACCACAGUUAUGACUGAGGGCUGCAACUCGCCCUCACGAAUAUGGAAUCCCUAGUAACUGCGCGUCAUUAUCGCGCGGUGAAUACGUCCCUGCUCCUUGCACACACCGCCCGUCGUUUCAUUGAAGUUUGCUUUUAGCGAGGUGACGUCUAAUUGGCGUUAUCGAACUUGAGGUAAGCGACAAGGGAAAAGUCGUAACAAGAGAUCGGAAGAGCGUCGUGUAGGGA